rnacentral:tRNA from 1 species
GUUCUUGUAGUUAAAGUACAUAACGGCGGUUUUUCAGGCCGUAGAUCCUGGAUUGAGCCCGGGCAAGAAUU